AAAAACAUGUCUUAUUGAAGAGUUAAUAAGUCUUGCCUGCCCACUGAAAGUUUUAAAGGGCUGCGGUAAUUUGACCGUGCGAAGGUAGCAUAAUCAAUAGUCUCUUAAUUGGAGACUGGAAUGAAUGGCGUUACGAGAAAAAAGCUGUCUUAGGGGUGUAGGUUGAAUUUUACCUUUAAGUGAAAAGGCUUAAAUAAUAUUAAGGGACGAUAAGACCCUAUAAAACUUAACAUUUACGCUAUUUUUUAAUUAUACGUGAAGAUAGAAUGAUAGUUUAGUUGUUUGGUUGGGGCGACCUAGAUAUAAAUUAAGUAGCUGUCUUAGAAUACAAAUAGUUAUAGCUUGUUUUACGAACCUUUAAUAAGGAUUAAAAGACCAAGUUACUUUAGGGAUAACAGCGUAAUUUUUUCUGAGAGUUCUUAUCGAAGAAAAUAGUUGCGACCUCGAUGUUGAAUUAAAACUUCUUUUAAGCGCAGUCGUUAAAAUAGUAGGUCUGUUCGACCUUUGAAGUUUUACAUGAUUUGAGUUCAGACCGGUGUGAGCCAGGUUGGGUUUUCUAUCUA
rnacentral:rRNA from 1 species